UACGUAGGGAGCAAGCGUUAUCCGGAUUUACUGGGUGUAAAGGGGGCGCAGACGGCGAUGCAAGCCAGGAGUGAAAGCCCGGGGCCCAACCCCGGGACUGCUCUUGGAACUGCGUGGCUAGAGUGCCGGAGGGGCAAGCGGAAUUCCUAGUGUAGCGGUGAAAUGCGUAGAUAUUAGGAGGAACACCGGUGGCGAAGGCGGCUUGCUGGACGGUAACUGACGUUGAGGCUCGAAAGCGUGGGGAGCAAACAGG
rnacentral:rRNA from 1 species